GGGGAGUCUGCGCAGGCGGAACCGGGCGUGUGAGUCCAGAGGGCCUCGGGGUCAGGUUCUUCUCCACGAGCAGGCGGCUUCCAGGGCAUCCCGGGUUUGACCCACGCAUCCUGAGAUGGCUCUGCACGUCCUGGAAGAGGGCGCGGCCGCCGCGCUGGUUUUGUGGUUUCAAGGGAGGCCGGGCGAACUCGCGCUUCACCUCGGCCAAGUUGCAGAAGUGGCCCAGGAGCUCCAGAGCCACGUCUUCGCAGUGGAAAUAGAAGCCCGGAGAGAGGAUAGGCUGUGUCAGAAGGUGCUGUUCUCAAGGGAACGGGUUCCAGCCCAGCGAAGGGUGCCAUCUACUGGAUUUACUAAUGUUCCUUCUCAGAACACCAGGAAGUCUCCUUCAGGACUCUGGGGUACUAAUAAUUCCUCCACUCCUGGAGCACUCCCUUCUUUCCCACCAUUUUUACACAGCAUAGACAAAGCACUGAGUCCCCACGGGGCUGCGUAGCGGCUUCUGAACUGAAUCCCACUGAUUCUUGUCUCUCCUCGAGUGCGCGCUGCACUUAAUCAGUCACUUGCUUCUAAUGAAUAGAGUACGACAGAGGGGAUGGGAUAGCCCUUCUCAAAUUAGGCUAUAAAAGUGUGUGACCUCUGUUUUGGUCACAGACUGCCUCUCUCUGGUGUCUCUUAUGUGUUCGUUCCGAUGAAGCCAGCUGUCAUGUUGUGAGCUCUGGCCUCUGGCCAACAACCAGUGAGAAACUGAGACUGUCAUUGGAACUGAGACCUUUAGUCCAAAAGCUUGUGAGAGACAAUCCCACCAAUAACCAUGAAUGAGCUUGGAAGCAGAUCCUUCCUCUUUGGAGCCUUCAGAUGAAGCCGCAGCCCCAGUCAGCCUCUUUUGUAAAAUUGUGGCUGUACCCACAGCAUGUGGAAGUUCCUGAGCCAGGGAUCGAACCCGUGCCAGAGCAGCAACCUGAACCACAGCAGCGACAACACCAGGUUCUUAACCCAUGGAGCCACAAGGGAACUCCCACAGUCAACAUCUUGAUUGCAGGAUGGUGUGAGACCCUGGUAUUUGACCCACAGAAACUGUGACAAAAUAAACAUUGCUUUGUGCCAUUAAGUUUUGGAAUGGGAGUUCCCUCAUGACUCAUGGGUUAGGGAUCCUGCGUGGUCACUGCUCUUGCUCAGGUCCCAGCUGUGGUGUGGGUUCUGUCCCUGGCCCUGGAACUUCCACAUGCUGUGGGCGUAGCCAAAAAAAGUUUUGCGAUGAUUUGUUAUGCAGCAGUAGGUAACUAAUUCAAGGGCCAAUAGUGGCUCACUAAUUUCGAUGGAUUUUCAAAAGCUUCAGAAGUUUCCUGUUUGAAUUGGGCCUAAUAAGCCUCAUAAAGACUUUCUUCUGUGCUUGCCUGGUUAGACAGUUAGACCUUGCAUCUCCAGAGGAGUAGUCCUGGAAGCUUCUGAGGCCACUUGAUCUGUAGUUCUGCAAUGAUAGGUCUUUAUCAUAUACCAAGCGAGUGAGCAUUUUAAGAUAAGCAUACUUUUCAGAGUAACAUGCAUUGUUUUUAUCAUUAAUUUUCAGUUAGAAGAAUAAAGCAUGAACACAUUCUCCUGGCAAAAAUAAGUACAUUAUAGAUAAAGUCCUCUUUGACAGUAACCUGAUUGAGGCCUCUCUCCUCCUCAUAAUAGCGAGCUCCACUCUUUAUUAUGAGUUUGGAGUAGAUCUUGCCAGAACUUAAAAAAAUUUUAUUAACAUGCACGUGUCUGUGUUUACAAAAAUAACACUCCUGCAGUAUCAUUCACUUUUUCCCCACUCCUCCUUGCUUUUUUCCCACUCAGCCAUCUCUUCCAGUUUUGAAAUCCCUAUUGAUGUAUGUGGACUCUAGUUCACUCUUACUUAUCAAGUGAAAACAGCACUUUGUACUUAGCUGCCAUGUACUGAUGACCUUGGUUCCAGACCUUCACCGUCACACACCACGCUGCAGUGAACAUCUCCUACCUGUCUGUGCCAGAGCGUGUUUUUCCAGGCCAGACACCUAUGAGGGGAAAGGCUGGGUCAUAGAUUAUGCACAUCUUUCGUCUUAGCAACACUGCCAAAUUGCCCGACCAAAUGGCUGUGUCAAUUUAUGCUUCCUAUAGUAAUGAAAAUGCCUGUUUGCCCUAAACUUUGCCCAAAUGUCGUAUUUUCCAGCCUGGUGGGAGAAAAGUGACUUCUCGUUGGUUUGGUUCACAUUCUCCUAGUUAUUGGUGAGGUCGAAAACCUCUUCGUGUAUUUAGUGGCAGUUUUUCUCCCUUUGUAUAGGGUUCCUGUGAGAGCAGUUGUGUGUGUGUGUGUGUGUGUGUGUGUGUGUGUGUGUGUGUGUGUGUGUGUGUGUGUGUGUGUAUAGCAGGGCUUGGGGGGAAGGGUGUGAAUUUGAGCUUGGAUGCCAGCUACCCAGGGGAGUUGCAUUCCAGUUCUGAGCACAUGGGCUGCCCAUCGCUGAUAGCCUGUGAGAACUUGAGAUCACGUGCAGCCUCUCCCUUUGGGGUGAGAUAGAGCCACCGGUUUCAGCUCGGACCUUCAUCUGGAGAGCCUCUGGGGGUAUCCAGCACUCGAACUGCUUGGUCCCGUCCCAACACUACUGUGUGAGGGCAGAAACUAGGAGGUUAUGAUGUUGGCUUAAUGCAUUGCCUCUGAUCAGUGCAAAAUCGGUUGCGGCUCCACUGUGGGGGCAGGGCAGAAAGAUGAGUGGAACUUAGCGAGCUCCCCUCGGUAAUAAAAGCCCCCUUAAGUCUAUUGGACGCCUCAACAGGCAAGACUGACAAGGGCAAAGACUGUCAGGAAUUAAAGUUUGGGGUGCCUUAUGCUUGCGAAGCAAGAGGAAUUAGGACUGUAUGGUGGAGGAGGGAUACUUCAUAACUAAUGGCAAAAACAAGGAGUCUUGCUGGUCCUUAAGUUUUCUUCUUUGCCAAAUAUGUAUAUUUAUAUACUUUAAAGAAUUCCUCAUGUCUUUGACUGACUUCUUUCUCAGUAUGGAUGAAGAUGGAUAAACUCGUGCUGUUUAGACCACCAGGUCCAGAAUCAUGUUAGAAGAGCAACGGCUCUGGCGCAAAGAUCUUUAUCUUGCAGCUGGAUGCAGAAACCGAGGAGGCUUUGGUCCCCCGCCUUGGGAAGUGUGAGUUCAUCUUAUGUUGUAAGGAGAAGCAAUCACAUUAUUUUAGACACCAGAAUUUUUGGAAGUGUGCAUAUGGGAAGAGGGGUUAGAUCAAUAAUUAGUGACCAAAAGGCUGGGCUGUUUCCUGAGGGGAGGGGAGUACCACCCAGUAUUCAUUCAGCCGGCCCUACGGCCAGCGUGAUUACUUCUGGGCAAUUCCCUCGGUGUGUACAAUCCUGGUGGAAUGAUCAAUCGAGGGUCUGGCAGAACUCCUGCUACAGAGGCCCCUGAAGGCUCCAUCUGCCAGAUUCUUCCUCUAAGUUCUGCAGUAGAGCCAGAGUGUCAGCAUGUUGCCCAAAGCCUGUGAGGAUGACUCAGUCUUCUGGAACUUUUAAUCCUUUAAUCCUUAACAGAGUGAAGCAAAUCAAUUCAUUCAUUCCAGUGACUGUGCUGGGAAAGACUGUCAGGCUACUCCGGUUACAGAGGCUCUCUGGAACUCCCUGGUUCUGUCUCGAUCCACUGCAUGAAUAUACUUCAAUUUAUGUAUCCUUUUUCUAUCAACAUCCGAGGCUAUCUCAGAUAUUGCUGCCAUGAAGAUUCUUUUUUUCCCCACAUUAAUUUUGCUUUAGUAGCGUCAACUUUCUGUCCCUAGCUAACGAAUGGAGAGAUUUUUGUCACAGUAGUGUUUUAUUCAUAAUGCAUUUAAAUAUAUACAUUUCAGUUUGUUUUUAUCACUCUUACUAGGGACAUGUGUUUUUAGAAAGAGACAGAGUAAGCUAUACCCUCCAAAAGAGAAAAUACAACUAUAGUUUAAGUAACAGAAAAAAAAUAACAAGCUAUUAAAAAUGUAAAGCUGGGAAAUUUUUCUAAUCAUCAUACCCAACACCUAAAUUGUCUUUCAUUGUCAAACACUGCACUUAACUAAAACAUUUAAAAUUUAGUAAUAGAAUGAUUGCUUGGUUAGAUUUAUUUUGUUUCUGUAAUAAAUAAUAUUAAGAAUAAAGACAAAAAUAGUGAUGAUAAUAUACAAAGAAAUGUUGGAGAUACUUUUAUAGCUUGUGAUACCCUCAGAGGCAAAAAAAAAAAAAAAAA
rnacentral:lncRNA from 1 species